AUUGAACGCUGGCGGCAGGCUUAACACAUGCAAGUCGAACGAGUGGCGGACGGGUGAGUAAUGCUUGGGAAUCCAGCUUAUGGAGGGGGAUAACUACGGGAAACUGUAUCUAACACCGUGUACUAUAGGAUGAGCCCAAGUGGGAUUAGGUAGUUGGUGAGGUAAAGGCUCACCAAGCCGACGAUCUCUAGCUGGUCUGAGAGGAUGACCAGCCACACUGGGACUGAGACACGGCCCAGACUCCUACGGGAGGCAGCAGUGGGGAAUAUUGCGCAAUGGGGGCAAGCCUGAUACAGCCAUGCCGCGUGUGUGAAGAAGGCCUUCGGGUUGUAAAGUACUUUCAGUCGGGAGGCGUUACCGACAGAAGAAGCACCGGCUAACUCCGUGCCAGCAGCCGCGGUAAUUC
rnacentral:rRNA from 1 species